rnacentral:rRNA from 1 species
UACGUAGGCAGCGAGCGUUGUUCGGAAUUACUGGGCGUAAAGAGUGUGUAGGCGGUGCUCUAAGUUCGGUGUGAAAUCUCCCGGCUUAACUGGGAGGGUGCGCCGGAAACUGGAGUGCUCGAGCGUGGAGAGGAAGACGGAGUUACUGGUGUAGCGGUGAAAUGCGUAGAUAUCUGGAGGAACACCGGUGGCGAAGGCGACGUCCUGGACCGGCAUUGACGCUGAGGGCGCGAAAGCCAGGGGAGCAAACGGG